rnacentral:rRNA from 1 species
CUACGGGGCGCUGCAGUGGGGAAUAUUGCGCAAUGGGGGAAACCCUGACGCAGCGACGCCACGUGAGGGAUGAAGGCUUUCGGGUCGUAAACCUCUGUCAGGAGGGAAGAACCUCUUCGGGUCUAAUAGGCCUGGAGACUGACGGUACCUCCAGAGGAAGCACCGGCUAACUCCGUGCCAGCAGCCGCGGUAAUACGGAGGGUGCGAGCGUUAAUCGGAAUUACUGGGCGUAAAGCGUGCGUAGGCGGCUUUUUAAGUCAGAUGUGAAAGCCCUCGGCUCAACCGGGGAAUUGCAUUUGAUACUGGAAGGCUAGAGUCUCGGAGAGGCAAGGGGAAUUCCUGGUGUAGGAGUGAAAUCCGUAGAUAUCAGGAGGAACACCGGUGGCGAAGGCGCCUUGCUGGACGAGUACUGACGCUGAGGUACGAAAGCGUGGGGAGCAAACAGGAUUAGAUACCCCAGUAGUC